GAAAUUAUGUUAGGGAUAUAUGUAAUAAUUCGAGUAGCAUAGCAUGUUUUAUAUAUAUUGUAUAUGAUUCCAUAUCAUAAGUUUCAUAAUAUUAUGACUUGUUGUUUAAAAAAUUUACAGAGUCCGUUAUAUGGACAUAUGACCCUUAUAUGUAACUUUAAUAUGUCAACCAUAAAAUUUUCUACAAAAUUUCCACUUAUAUGUGAUUAUGCAUGAUAAAACGAACAAAAACGAAAUUUGAAUGAUUAGAUUUGGUUUUAUAACGAAUCCGUGGCGUUGAAUUUUAGAAUUUAUGUUCAACACGUCAAGAACAUCAAGAACAG
rnacentral:lncRNA from 1 species